rnacentral:misc_RNA from 1 species
GUUUGUUGUUCGUGUAGCUUGUACAUUGACCUUACCUAUCGUACUUUUGUUUAUCUUCUACAGAUUAUCAUGCCUCCGGAUGAACAAAGACUUAGUUUACCUUCUCCUGAUCGACUUAACAACCUUAACAUUCAUUUAAUCGAUGACAUUCUAAGUAGGUUGUCUUUUCGAGAUGUUGUAAGAGUUAGUACACUUUCAAAGGACUGGCAAUAUAAUUUCUA